GACGAACGCUGGCGGCGUGCUUAACACAUGCAAGUCGAACGGAGUGGCGAACGGGUGAGUAACACGUGGGUGAUCUGCCUUGCACUUCGGGAUAAGCUUGGGAAACUGGGUCUAAUACCGGAUAGUGCAAGAUGAGCUCGCGGCCUAUCAGCUUGUUGGUGGGGUAAUGGCCUACCAAGGCGUCGACGGGUAGCCGGCCUGAGAGGGUGUACGGCCACAUGUGGACUGGGGUACCGGCCAGACUCCGACGGGAAGCAGGCGGGGGGAAUAAUUCAAAAAUGGGCGAAGGCUUAAGGAGCGACCGCGGGUGGGGGAUGAAGGCCUUCGGGUUGUAAACUCCUUUCGACAGGGACGCGGUACCUGUAUAAGAAGCACCGGCUAACUACGUGCCAGCAGCCGCGGUAAUAC
rnacentral:rRNA from 1 species